rnacentral:hammerhead_ribozyme from 1 species
GUACUGAUGAUGAGUGCGAAAUUGGACGAAACAGUUGUCCAGUAC